GAAAUGCGAUAAGUAAUGUGAAUUGCAGAAUUCAGUGAAUCAUCGAAUCUUUGAACGCACAUUGCGCCCGCCAGUAUUCUGGCGGGCAUGCCUGUUCGAGCGUCAUUUCAACCAUCAAGCCCCCGGGCUUGUGUUGGGGACCUGCGGCUGCCCGCAGGCCCUGAAAACCAGUGGCGGGCUCGCUGUCACACCGAGCGUAGUAGCAUAUCAUCUCGCUCUGGGCGUGCUGCGGGUUCCGGCCGUUAAAGCCUUUUUUUUUUUUACCCAAGGUUGACCUCGGAUCAGGUAGGAAGACCCGCUGAACUUAA
rnacentral:misc_RNA from 1 species